UACGAGGGGGGCAAAUGUUGUUCGGAAUCACUGGGCGUAAAGGGAGCGUAGGCGGGUUUCUAGGUCAGGUGUUUAAUCCCGGGGCCCAACCCCGGACAGGCACUUGAAACUGGGAAUCUUGAAUAGUGGAGAGGUCAGUGGAAUUGGGGGUGUAGCGGUGGAAUGCGUAGAGAUCCGCAAGAACACCAGUUGCGAAGGCGGCUGACUGGACACAUAUUGACGCUGAGGCUCGAAAGCAUGGGGAGCAAACAGG
rnacentral:rRNA from 1 species